UUUCAAAAUGUAAUUUGAAACGAACUAGUGUUGGAAAGAUAUGUUUGUAAAGAAUUACAAACUGUAUUUAAAUUAUUUCAACACAGUACUCUAUGCAUUGAAAUUAUAUUUUCAAUGCUUUAUAAUCAUAAACAACAUCUGAAAUUCUUUUUUUUUUUAUUUAUAUCACGGUACCGUUAUGCAAUGCUAAAUUGGAAAACUAUUCUUCUUGUUACUCUACUUUAAGAAUUCGUUUAUUUCCUUAAACCUUAUUACACCCUUUAAUUCGUGUAAAUUUCUGUGCAACAAUUUUUAUAUCUAACGCUUUUGGGAAACUAAUGAUCGAAAACUUAACAAGAGAGAAUAGCACCAAAGCGUGCUCGUAAAAUCGUUCCUAGUUAUCUCUUUUUGAAAAUUCUUAAGAGAUACUCUAAAAUCAAUGCUCGAUGGAUUACUUCAAUCGAUUGUAUGCAAAAUAAAAUUAGCUUAACAUAAUGUAACAGUGAAAAAAAUGCUCUAAAUUAAUGGUUGCUCGAGUUCGUUAUUUUCAGUUUGCUUAGAAUUUCAUCGUGCAAACAAUGAUAAAAAUUUUAAUGAUUGCUUGAUGUAUCACAAGAUGGUGUUUUAAAAAUAAUCCCAACAUAAUUUAAUGUUCUUCUCAAACUGUAUGAUUGCCAUGAAGAAAGAGCAAUUUAUCUAUUAAAUGAGAGGGUAUGGCAGCUCGCCUUGUAUCAUACAAAACUUGCACCUCCGCGGGAAUUCUAAUGGGUGGUGCACAACAUGCGGGCACACAGUUGUACCUGCAAGCUAACUUUCCCAAAUUUGGACAUUUUGCAGAAAUUUUAGCCCACCACUGAAGAGGACAACAAUCGAGUGGUGCUGUGGCUUCCGAAUGGUAUUGUACAAGUUCAAGAUCCGCUUUCUCUUCUGCAGGCAUUCCACUUUUUGCUGAACAUAAACCCCCAAGUAAAAGUUCCAUGCCUACAUACAAUUCAAUCAUUAUUUACACCGAUGAUUUGAUGUAUUGAAAUUAACAUCAUACAUACCCGACAGUCGACUCUUUUUAUUUGGUGGCUCUUCUUCGAUUUUAAUACUUGUGCUAUCACCAGAUUCUUCCUGUAUUAGUUUUGUCAGCAUCUCCUUAAUUGGAGUUGCAACUAAGUUCUUGUCUUCUUCAGUGGCAUAUGGAAGUUGUUUAAACCUACAGUAAAACAGCAAAAAGAUUAUUUAAAGUAAAACUAGCAGUACAAAGAUGUAUAGAUAAAAAUUUAUAAUAACCUUGGAUCCAGAGUAGUGGCGAUUUGAAGCAGAAGAGUAACGUUGUAAUCUGCGUAUCUAUCGCAAAGCAUGUCAGACAAUGAUUCCUUGAAAGAUCUCGCUAUAUCGCUAUCAGUUUCUUUUACUUUCAAAUGAGAAGAUACGAGUUGCCAAAGCAAUGGCUUUAGUAAAGAUAUCAGAGGCAUUUUCUCCUCGCUGAGCGUCAUAAUAGUAACUUUAAACGGCUCAAGAACGUUUACAAGAUCUUCUACAAUUUUCCACUGUUCGUUCGUUAGAUCGACCAUCUCUUGAUCAACGCCUUCCAAACUUUCUAAAAUCGAUGUUACGAUGUUACGACGCAGUACUAUUUGCUCGAGCAUGUUGUACGUUGAUGUCCAAACAGAUGGAUAAUCCAUGAGCAUUGUGUUUUCAUCCAACUGCAACAAUGUAUCAAAGAAAUAUUUAUUAAAUUAACCAUACAUUAUCAAUUACUUUUUGAGUAACUACAUAUAUAAUACAAUCUGAAAUUUACCUCCAACAAUUGCUCUUGCAUAGCUAGAGCUGCAGAUGCAGCUGGGUGACUUAUGAUAGCUCCAAUAGCUGCUCUGCAUUUAGAUAAUAUAGAAGCAACAUCUGGAUUUUCAAAACAAGCCUGAGCACACACUUGCAAAGUAUAAAGCAAACAGGGAACUAAUGUUAAUCCCCGAUUUGUUAAUGCAGACAACAGUUCUGUCCUAGAUGUAGCUAUUACUACUGCAGUUAUCCUUUCGAUUUUCAAAUCCCAGUCGAGCAACAAAGAAUCUAUUGUACUGCCCCAUUGAGAUUCUUCCCAAUCCAAAGGUGCAUGAACUGUACUUAAGACUUUACAUUCUAAAACUGGUUCACCGGAAUUCUGGUAGUACACAGAAAUAGUAACAAAACGUUCAUCUGAAUUUGAUCUCCACUCUUCGACGGUCAAGCCCACUUCUGUGCUAAUACAAGAUAGAGUGGCAGCCACAGAUUCACGGAAGGUGUCAUAAAUUUUUGGAAUAAGUUCUUCUUCUAGCUUAUUUUUACUUGGAAUUUCACAUGGUGACCUUAAUGUUGCAACUAGCCUUUGAAAGCCCCGACCUUCCACUACCUCUGGUAAUUGUAAAUCCAUUAUAAUAAAUUCUGCUAUAGCAUCGGAUACGGUUUUUCCAUCGAUACUCGACUGAUUAAUAGGGUUUUCCUCUGGCAUAAGAAAGGCCACAUUUUGACUAUUGUUUGCAAUAUUGGAACCACUUUUUAUCAUAACACGUAACGGUUGACCAAUCGCAAUGUCAUCCUCGAUAUUAGAUAAACUUAUAUUUGGGUCUGUAACAAACUGAAUGUCCCCAUCUAUCUGCACAGUACCAUCAGCAUUAGUAGUGUAAAUAUGUUGUGCGGAGGUUAAACCUGCCUUUAAUAAUCUCUUUUGAGCCCUCCGAUCUUUAGUUUCUUGCGAAAGUACCUGUCUCCGCGGUGGAUUAGUAGCUUCCAGUUCUAACAGUUCUUGUGCAUGUUUGUUUUGCAGGUGCAUACGCAAGUUGCUGGUGUUACGGUUAUACGCGAUUUGAGUUUUGCAAAGUAUGCAAACGAUUUUAACUUUAGUGAGGAUAUCUCCGUCGUCAGUAGCUGGAAACCCAAAGAAUUUCCAAUAAAUACUUCUCAUCGACAUAGGCACCACUAAUUUCUUAAACGCGUUCACGAGUUACAAUCGACGUUUACCGGUAUGUUAUCAUCCAAGCUUCUACCGACUGCGACCGUUUCAACCAGUAAAAUCAAUCGACCUGAUCCAGUUGAAAAUGAAUUCCAUCGACCAGCAAACACAUCUACGCUAAACAUGCCGCCAGUAACAUAUCUGUGCGAACUUUGUCCGUUUUCGAACAACUUGCUCUAGCAAACGAGUAUUCUUCUUACAAAAAGCAGCCGCUCUGGUAUGCAUUAUCAACUUCUGCGAAGCACAAUUUACAUUCGCCGCUGUUCGUCGCCGUGAACAGGUCGCGAGAAAUAAAAAGAACAAACAUCGUGCUCCCCA